GCGCAGCAGUCGCGAAAACUUCACACUGUGCGAAAGCACGAUGAGGGAAUCCCAAGUGCUUGCACGUAAGUGUAAGCUGUUUCUCUGUCUAAAACGCAGAGAGAGUAAGGGCUGGGUAAGACGGGUGCCAGCCGCCGCGGUAAUACCUGCAGCUCAAGUGGUGACCGUUAUUAUUGGGCCUAAAACGUCCGUAGCCGGUUUAAUAAAUGCCUGGGUAAAUUGUGUAGCUUAACUAUACGAAUUCCGGGUAGACUGUUAAACUUGAGACCGGGAGAAGUUAGAGGUACUCCUGGGGUAGAGGUGAAAAUUCUGUAAUCCUAGGGGGACCACCAGUGGCGAAGGCGUCUAACUAGAACGGGUCUGACGGUGAGGGACGAAGCCC
rnacentral:rRNA from 1 species